rnacentral:ncRNA from 1 species
CUUAUACCGUUGGUAGGGAUCUCUUUCCUACUUGACAGUACUAAUACCCAGGGAAACUGGUCAUCAGGCGAACUGCGGCGUUCUGCUGGCAAAACAUAGCUUCGGUUAUGUCAAUGGCUAUUGGAUUGGUCCAUGAAGCGAAAAAUAGUUUACUGUGUCACUCGUACCGAUAACCGCAUCAGGUCUUCUAGGUAAGUAGCCUAUGGCCAUUGAGGCAUGAUAGUUCAGGGAAUUCGGCCAAUUAGAGCUGUAACUUCGGGAUAAAGCUUGGCUCUGAUGAAAAUCAGAACCGAUUGUUACGCGGAGAGCCCAACUGUUUAAUAAAAACGUAGUGUCGCGCUGUGGUAGUAUAGCCAGUGAACGCGACAUGAAUCCUGCUCAGUGCUGUGUCUGUUAAUAUGGUUCAAGCCAACGAAGCACCGGUAAAUAGCUGGGGUAACUAUGACUCUUAUCAAAGUAGCGAAAUACCUCGUCACUUAAUUAGUGACCUGCAUGAACGGAGCUAUGAGGUUCUCACUGUCCCAAACUGUCUCUCAGCGAACCAACUGUAGUGGGAACGGUCACUAGAUAUCCAGCGGGGAAAGAAGACCCUGUAGAGCUUCACUUUGGUCUAGUCUUGUAUAGUUCCUGCGGGGGUGUAGACUAGGUGGGAGAGCAAUCGAUUCUGAAAAACCACUACCCUGUUUGGAAUUAUGCUUACCUAUCACAAGGAAUAGGACUAGAUAGAAAGUUUGGCUGGGGCGGCACACCUUCGAAAGAGCAGCGAAGGUGUCCUAAGUUGAGCUCAGUGAGGACAGAAAUCUCACGUUGAGGAUAAGGCCAAAAGCUCAAUUUACUGUGCCUUUUUGUACUAGGAUCAGUUACGAAAGUAAGGCCUAACGAUCCCUAAAUAGCCUCAGGUGCGUGAGGAUUGGGGUGACAG